rnacentral:lncRNA from 1 species
GCCGUUCAGUGGCAGCUUCGUGCUAAGAACCUGAGGUGGACAGCAAACUCAAAGAUGGAGUCUCACGAGUCCUCCCGAAAUUUGUAGAGGAUACAAAUUUGUUUUCCAAAACUCCGUUACUAGCUCAGUUUCAGAGCUAGGCAUCAGUGGGUGGCAGAAGAGCCAGCCCACAGGGCCAGACAGCCUUGGGACACAACACCACCAACUCUGGAAGGACUCAGCUGGGACCCACAGGAAUGAGUUCAGAACAGUUCCCGAGGCCAACUGGGCGGUUGCUGUCAGGUGAUCAAAUAGCUGAGACGACUUUGUCGAAAGUUCCACCGACUGGGUGUGUUGGUACACACUUUUAAUUUCAGCAUUCUGGAGGCAGGGCCAGGUGGACCUCUUGGCUUACAAAAACCUCAAAUUUAAUCAGUGUCCUGCUGUUCAAAGGUAUUUUGAAAUGUGCCAAAUCUUAAUUGAUGUGGAAGUGCCUGGAACCAGAGUUAAUACCUGGAGCAACAGGGAGCCCAAAUUAUGGAGGUCGGUUACUUCCAUACAGGCUCACCUUCAGCAAAGCUCAGAUGGCAGUUAUUCUUCGAUAUGAAGAGACACAUUGAGUGCAUAUUGUGACUUUGGUCUGAAUAAGAAAAAGGAACCCAGUAACCCGUGGUCGCUGGCAGCUACAAUGCAGAACUCUCAGCUCAUUUUGCAUCGUGCCUGCCUAGAUGUUACCCUGCUGCCACCAUGAAAAUGAUGGACUGAACCCCUGAACCUGUGAGCUAGCCCCAAUUAAAUGUUGUUCUUUAUAAGACUUGCCUUGGUCAUGGUGUCUGUUCACAGUAGUAAAACCCUAACUAAGACAUCAUUGAAGAUGAAGAUGAGAGACCAACUAAACAUUGCAAAUCUAGCUAUGCAAGCCACCAGUCACUGUUUGUUGUGUCUUAUUUAUACUCCCUCCAAACAACAUUCGUCCUCCCAUGGGUCUUGCCUCAGCCAAACACUAUAUGAGUCUGUCUUAGCAAAACUCCAUGUGAGUCUAUAUCAG